rnacentral:rRNA from 1 species
UUUAUCCGGUUUGGGACUGGCCUGCGUACGAUUAGAUAGUUGGUAGGGUAAUGGCCUACCAAGUCGACGAUCGUUAGAUGGUUUGAGAGGAUGAUCAUCCAGACUGGGACUGAGACACGGCCCAGACUCCUACGGGAGGCAGCAGUAGGGAAUCUUUCACAAUGGGCGAAAGCCUGAUGGAGCAACGCCGCGUGCAGGAUGACGGCCUUCGGAUUGUAAACUGCUUUUAUAUCCGAGAAAUAUGAUGGUAAGAUAUGAAUAAGGAUCGGCUAACUACGUGCC